CGAGACGCUGCGGCGUGCCUAACACAUGCAAGUCGAGCGCGAAAAGGGCAACCUGAGUAGAGCGGCGCACGGGUGCGUAACACGUGGGUAAUCUGCCUUUGAGUCGAGGAUAACCUUCCGAAAGGUUGGCUAAUACUCGGUAAGCUUACGGAGACUUUGGUCUCUGUGAGAAAAGUAGGCCUCUAUUUAUAAGCUUACGCUUGAAGAUGAGCCCGCGGCCCAUCAGCUAGUUGGCGGGGUAACGGCCCACCAAGGCAACGACGGGUAGCUGGUCUGAGAGGACGAUCAGCCACACUGGAACUGAGACACGGUCCAGACUCCUACGGGAGGCAGCAGUGGGGAAUUUUCCACAAUGGGCGAAAGCCUGAUGGAGCAACGCCGCGUGUGUGAUGAAGGUUUUCGGAUCGUAAAGCACUUUCGACCGGGACGAAAAACCUCUGGCUAACAUCCAGGGGCCUGACGGUACCGGGAGAAGAAGCACCGGCUAACUCUGUGCCAGCAGCCGCGGUAAUACAGAGGGUGCAAGCGUUGUUCGGAAUUAUUGGGCGUAAAGCGCGUGUAGGCGGCUUUGCAAGUCAGAUGUGAAAGCCCUCGGCUUAACCGAGGAAGUGCGUCUGAAACUGCAGAGCUUGAGUGUCGGAGAGGAUGGCGGAAUUCCGCAAGUAGAGGUGAAAUUCGUAGAUAUGCGGAGGAACACCGGUGGCGAAGGCGGCCAUCUGGACGACUACUGACGCUGAGACGCGAAAGCGUGGGGAGCAAACAGGAUUAGAUACCCUGGUAGUCCACGCUGUAAACGAUGAGAACUAGGUGUCGUGGGUGUUGACCCCCGCGGUGCCGCAGCUAACGCAUUAAGUCUCCGCCUGAGACGCGCGU
rnacentral:rRNA from 1 species